AUUGUGGUAGAGCAAGCCAAGAGCUGAAGAUGGGUGUUUGAAGGGUUGAAGAGGAGCUCAUAGUUCUCUAGAUGACUUAAGUGAAGUGCAGAUGGUGGUAGUGUGUCAUAAUGACAUCCUACUAAGGCAUGGGAGGAAAAAGAUUACAGAGACUAGAUAUUCUGAAGUGAUAAUGGGGAACAAGGGCACAACUUUCCCAUUGACAGCUUAAGAAAGCAAUGGGGCAUGUAAUGUCCAGAAAUGAAAAGCAUCUCAGCCAGUACAAGAAGAUGAGAAGGACCUCCAAAGACCCUGAGGGGGAAAGAGUCAUUUUGAUGAUAAUGGCUAUCCACUCUCAGGAGCUAGAGGCACAUGGAUGAGGGCCAUUAGGUGGCAUGUAUAUAGAGCUACAUGAAUGUGGAAAUAAAUGAGGUCCUGAGAAUCCAGAGUUUCUAGUUGUCACAAGAAUAGUGAAAAGGUGUGGUCAAUGAUAGAUCAGUGAUCCUGGUCAAUAGGGCAGGAGGUGAGUGUGGGAGUGAAUAUGCAAGCGUUAGAAUUUUGGCCUGUUCUUGACAUCUUCACUGCUGGAGAACUGAAGAGAGAUGUUAUUGAUUAUAGAACUCUGCAUGGAACUACAAUGACUUUGAAACCCUUCUUAUGAGAGCAAAAGUAUUCAAUUAUUGGCUUCUAAAUUGAGAAUCUAAAAUGUCCUUAAGGAACAUGAUGUCCCUUCCCUCCUAGUCAUCUUGUCCUAAAUCAAUCAGGAUCCUUCAAGAGCAAACCAAGCAAGGCUGACUGCAAAGGUUCUCAUCCCUGGAGCCAUAUCCAACACUACAAACUUUGUGUCCGUUCAACUUUUGAUUACAGUUUCCUGUGCAGGAUACUUCUUUUUUCUCCCACUUGUGUUUCCCUUCCACUUCCUUCUUAAGGAAGUGGUUCAUCAGGUCAUCCUCAAAAAGUUAGGCUUGGAUGUUCCAGAGUGUUUUCUUGUCAUAUUCAAAUUUCAAAUUAUGUAAGUAUUCUCAACAC